rnacentral:lncRNA from 1 species
GCCAGGGAGUUAAUGUCCCCAGGGGUGGCCCUUGAGUAAUGACUUAUAGGAGAAGUUGGUGUAUGAGUACCCAGCUCCCUUGCUCUUCGGGCCAGUUGCUCCCCAGGCGGUAUUCAACCCUGGCUCCCCGGCUCCCCGGAAGAAUUCAUCUCCACUGCCCACCUUGGUAGCUUCCUGGAUGCUUAUGCUACCUUGGCCCCUUCUCUUCCUCAGUCCCGUGCUGGUGCUGCAAGACCUAGCUCAAUCAACUACUUGCACUUGGACCCUUGUCUCAGAGACGCCUGCCUCAGCGUGGCUUGGUAAUCGGUGUGUGGGUCCACGCCUGGGAUCUGAACCAGCAAACCCUGGGCCACCGAAGCAGAGUACGCAGAUUUAACCACUAUGCCCCUGGGCUGGCCCUGGUUGAGCAGCUUUUGGAUUUUGAUGGCGUCUGCCGUUGUCCUGGGGAAGGUGGUGUCGGUUUCCGGUUUCAUUGCGGUAACAUCUGACUAGUUCUGUGUAGCCUGGUGAUGCACUUCCCCAUGUCACCUCGUCUCACGCAGGCUGCCUGUGAGGAGCCUGGAGUCAGCUCUUGCCUGCCUGGUCCGAGCUGGUUGAGACCACUGACUCAUCCACUGGCCCUUGGAGAAUGGCCGAUAGGUGACUCUUUAACAUCAGGGGGCCAAAAACUCCACCCUCAGAUCAUGCUCAUGUCACCGAUUUGUGAACGUGUGUCCUCAAAGAGCCGUGAAGCUUGACUACGCCUGCACAGAUCAACCACCUCCCUUCUCCUACCUCUCAUCAUCUAUCCCCACACUGCGGACAGCCCUGCCUCUCUAUCCCAUAAAUAUCCCUAGUCCCCAUUUUCGAGGAGGUGGAUUUGAGACUGUUCUCCUGUCUCCUCGCUUGGCUGCCUUGUGAAUAAACCCUU